AUACGGAGGGUGCAAGCGUUACUCGGAAUUACUGGGCGUAAAGGACGCGUAGGCGGUUUAGAAAGUCAGAUGUGAAAGCCUAUGGCUUAACCAUAGAACUGCAUUUGAAACUUCCAAACUAGAGUGGGGGAGAGGUCAGUGGAAUUAGUGGUGUAGGGGUAAAAUCCGUAGAGAUCACUAGGAAUACUCAUUGCGAAGGCGACUGACUGGAACUUAACUGACGCUGAGGCGUGAAAGCGUGGGGAGCAAACAGGAUUAGAAACCCCAGUAGUCC
rnacentral:rRNA from 1 species